UACGGAGGGUGCAAGCGUUAUCCGGAUUCACUGGGUUUAAAGGGUGCGUAGGUGGAUCGGUAAGUCCGUGGUGAAAUCCCCGAGCUUAACUCGGGAACUGCCGUGGAUACUAUCGAUCUUGAAUACUGUGGAGGUAAGCGGAAUAUGUCAUGUAGCGGUGAAAUGCUUAGAUAUGACAUAGAACACCGAUAGCGAAGGCAGCUUGCUACACAGUUAUUGACACUGAGGCACGAAAGCGUGGGGAGCAAACAGG
rnacentral:rRNA from 1 species